CAGUAGCCGCGGGAAUACGUAGGGUGCGAGCGUUAAUCGGAAUUACUGGGCGUAAAGCGUGCGCAGGCGGUUCGUUAAGACAGAUGUGAAAUCCCCGGGCUUAACCUGGGAACUGCAUUUGUGACUGGCGAGCUAGAGUAUGGCAGAGGGGGGUAGAAUUCCACGUGUAGCAGUGAAAUGCGUAGAGAUGUGGAGGAAUACCGAUGGCGAAGGCAGCCCCCUGGGACAACACUGACGCUGAAGCACGAAAGCGUGGGGAGCAAACAGGAUUAGAUACCCCAGUAGUCCCUGUCUCUUAUAU
rnacentral:rRNA from 1 species